ensembl:ncRNA F31F6.9 ncRNA
AGGUAUGGGCUAUUGCCAUUAGUCGCACUUUAGUCGAUGAUGAUGGCAGACAAUUACCGUCCUAUUGACAGCUAGUUUCUACUGCCCGCCGCUACCGUCAC